GAGGCAGUGCAGUUGUGGCCAUAGUUCUGGUGCUGUGCCUUGUGCUUCCAUGUGACAUGGUUGAUGCAGCCACCUUCACUGUUGGUGGUGCCAGCGGCUGGGCCUUCAAUGCUGUUGGCUGGCCUAAGGGAAAGCGUUUCAAGGCUGGUGAUGUGCUUGGUAAGUCUUUUACUCUUAAACCUAAUCUUUUUAGGUGAAAUUUUAAUAAUUUACGAAAAAUUACAGGAUAGGAAAUUAUACCUAUGUGUUUAUUAUGCAGUGUUCAACUAUAGCCCUUCGGCUCACAAUGUGGUGGCGGUGAACAAGGCCGGGUACAAUGGGUGCACCACCCCUCGAGGUUCCAAGGUGUAUCAGACAGGGAAAGAUCAGAUCAAGCUGGUGAAGGGGGCCAACUAUUUCCUCUGCAAUUUUCCUGGGCAUUGCCAAUCUGGAAUGAAGAUAGCAGUAACUGCUACUUAAUAUAUACAUAUAUAUGAAGCAAAUAAUAUGGAGUUGCAUCUCCUUCUACAUAUAUAUUGAUUCUAUCAUCAUAAUACAAGAGGCCUUGUGCUAGUUUUUAAUAUUUGUACGUGCGGUUCAACCUUAGCUAGCUAGCUCAAGUGAGAAGUGACUUUUCAGUAUCUUUAAUAUCAUAAAUAAAGUUGCAGUUGGUUGACAAUAUAUGGGUUGUUGCAUUAACUUUUUGUUUUGAGGAUGCCCUCUCUUUUUCUUUUGCUUUUUCCCUUUUUCCUUUUUAAUGUCAAAAAUUUUGAAAGAGAGAAAAUGAAAAAUAAAAAAUAAAAAAUCAUUGAGAGUGAAGUUAUAUUCUUGAGAUAUAAAAUGGGCUUGAAAGAUUACCAAAAAGGAAAAAAAUUAAGUAGUUAACUCAAUGAUCAGACUUUCACAUGGUUGAAGGGGUGCUUAGUUGAUCCCAUGUUUCAAAUAAAGAUGAUUUUCUUUCCCCACCUUUUAGGGGUAGCUGCUCCUGGGCCUUAGUUGACUCAGUCAUAGGGACAAAAGAAAAUUAAGUGUAAUUGUGAAUUGUGUGACCUUAUAAGUGGGUAGGUAAUACAUCAAAUCAAAGAGAAAUGAUUCCAUAGGGAAAGUAGUUUUUCCUAUGGUAAAUCUCUGCAUGUAAACUUCUCAAUCUGUCAAACAAAAAACAUGAAAUUUAUAAUAUAUUUUAAAAAUUGUUUUGGUAUUAAAUCAACAAUUUAAAAAAGAAUAUAUUAAAAUAGGCCAAAACAAUCCAUUUUGAAAUAUUUAUUUAUGAUAUAGUAAUAAAAAUUCUUUUAAUUUUUGGAUUAUGUGUUGUUAUUGACUACCAUUAUGGCUUUUAUACAAGUUAAAAAGAAUCAAAAGAAUUGGUGAAUUUAUAUAACAAUAUUCAUUUUGUGGUCCAAAUUUUAUUUCAACAACCCAUGAUUAUAAUCAUGACUUGAGAAAGUAUAAAUGCAUCUGCCAAAACUCUUUUUUUGUAUUCACUCUUUUAGUGAAAAUUUUAAGAUACAAAUAUCUUUUACUGAAAUCCCCAAAGUACUGUUCAACACAAAAAUACAGAUAUUUUUCCUCUUCUUCCUUCAUUCUUCUUUGGUCGGUAAUUUCUUUAACCCUAAUAAAAUUUAGUGAAAAAAGUUGUGUUUCUCACAAAUAGAAAAACAAAUAAUUAUAUACAAUAAUGUUACAAGUGAAAAUAUAUGGUUUUUAUACAUUUAUUUUUUUCAUUUCUUCUCACAUUUUUGGGGUUGGAGGAAAAGGUCUUUAUUGUUAUCAUUUUUCAUGUAUGUCCUCACUCGAUGACAAAACUUGUUUUUUAUUUAUAAAAAAUUGAUUUUUAAAUAUACAACAAAACAAUGGUAAUGAGGAGCAAAAAAUAAAAGAACAUUCAUAGUAGAGCAUGCAUAUCAAAGGAAUCAAACAAGGAAGGAAGGAAGAGAAUGUACCUCAAUAAUGCCUAAAACAGGGCAAGGCUCUUACAUAGGAAAGAAAAAGUUAGUUUGCAAGCAAAAUAAGGGAUAUAAUAUCAAAACAAGAGCCACCCAAAAUGUACAAGAUUUACACAAUCAAAAUUAAGACUCAAAGAUGGUUAAAAUAGUAUCAAAGUGGACUAACAUACACUAAACAUACAAAGAGGCUAGAAUAGUACAAUAAAAAGGUAGUCAUAAAAUAAAUCUGAAUAAAAAAACUUAAAAAGGAUGAUCAUACUAUAGGGGAAGCUUGUUUAACAUGUAUAAGAUGUAUAAAUUACAAAUUAAGAGUCAUAAAAGGUUAAAACCAUGCCGAAAUGGACUAAUUGAAUAAGUUAUUCAAAUAAUAUAGAAACAUGAUAUAAAAUAAGCAUUUACAAAAUAAAUUUAAAUAAAAUGAUUAGAGAUGAGAUAAAAAAAAAUUCCAUAUAAUAUUUGAAGUGUCUAGAACAUAACCCUACCCAAAAGCUUAAGGGGCUCAAGCAUGCACCAAAUAGUCUAAAUUUCAAAGAAUAUCUCCUAACUCGAAAUUAGGUUAGCACAACAAGCAUACAAAGAUUGAAUUAAUUCACAAGGAUAAUAAGUUAUUUUUUAGUGAGACCAAAGCCUCUAAGCUUAUUAAAGAAGUAUGGAAUAUAGAAAAAAUAUCAAAAUUAAUUAAAAACCUAAGAACUAGGAUUGAUUUAUAAAAAAUAUUUCAAAGGCUAGAAAUAAGGUAAAAGCUAGACAUUUGGAAAGACUGAUUUAUUCAAUAAGCUUGGAGAAAGAGUUUUUUACAAAACAAAAAUUAUUUGAUACAUUCAAGAAAUCUAAAACACAUUACAAGCCUUAAAAAUAUUUUAGAAUAGAUCAAAAGGUCCAUAUUUAUAAAAACAUUUUGAAGGUAAAAAACAAUAUAACAAACAAGCAAAUUUCAUAAAUCAAAGAAUGUGGGCUAUAAGCUCAAAUUGUUUUUCAUGGACUAAUCUACAUCUCAACCCUCUAAUGAACAUGAGAAAAGGGUUCAUAGGGGCUAAAGAUGAUCUCAUUAACUUACGAUUUGCAAGAUUAAUCCAUAUUUUCAAAAUCAAGAAAAUCCGAAAAUUAAAAGUUAAAAAGAAAAUGAGUGAUAUAGGCUAAGGAAGUGAGUUUAGUUCCUCUUUAGGGUUUUAAGCCUCAAAAUGAGUAGAAUUUAAACUCACAAAAGACAUGGAAGGCUAAAUUAACUCUCAAGUUUGGAGAAAAGUGCUAAAUGAACAUGAAAAUAUCCAUGGAGAGGUAUGUUCCCAUGUGAAAUCAAGUCAUGUAUGCCAAAAACUAGUGGCAACCAUUAUUGGCCUUAAAAUGUCUAUAAUAUUAAGCCUUAAAUAACUAUGAGAAGGGAUUCAAAAGGGCCAAAAAUGGUCCUUUAAAACUCAGUUUAGAAAACCUUUCAAAAAUGAUGAAAAUAAUGCAGGCAACUAUCAACUUUCUCAAGCACAAUGACAAGACCAAAGCCUAGGGUAAAAGGAUUGACCUUUGGCCAAGAAAUUAACUAUUGAAAUAUGCUUGAAAAUCAACCAAAAAGGGUUUGAAAGAGGGUUUUAUAACCAUAUUUGCAAAGAAAACCAAAAAAAAAAAAGGCUUUUUAAAGCCUUUUUCCACAUAAAAUCUCUUUGACAAAGAAUCAAACACUUCGUGGAUCUCAAAUUUUAUUUUAAAAUCAGUAACAAAACGUUCAAAAAUCAUUAAAAUAAAGGAGAAAAACAAAAUCCCCCAAAAUAUGAAUCUAAAGAAAAUCAAGGAUUUCAAAUCCAAAUAAGUCUCGUAUCAUGUUUUAACCAAUGAGCUUCAAAAAGAACAAAACCAAAUUAAGUAAGGCUUCAAAAACUACUAAGCAACAAUGAAAUUAAGAGAUCAAACAUUUCAUCAAGCAAUCAUGAUGGACAAAAAUAAGAAAAUAAGAAUAAAAUCUAUAGAUGAAGAACAAAUAUCCAACAAGCAAGACUUCAAAAACUACUAAGCAACAAUGAAAUCAAGAGAUCAAACAUUUCAUCAAGCAAUCAAGAUGAACAAAGCGAAGAAAAGAAAAAGAAAAUCUAUAGAUAAAGAACAAAUACCUAACAAGUAAGUGUGUGGCUUUUCAAUAUCCACACCCAAUACACAUAUCAUCUAAAAAAUCAAAAGAAAAUGAAAAUAAAUUGAAAAAACAAGGAAAAAUUGAAAUUAAAAUGAGCUUACCAAGAUAACUCCUCACAAGUGAAAACACUUAUCUUUUAGCAAGCUUACGAUCCUCUUACAAGCCAAGUAUUCUUCCAAGC
rnacentral:lncRNA from 1 species